rnacentral:rRNA from 1 species
CGGGCCUUGUACACACCGCCCGUCACACCAUGGGAGUUGGUUCUGCCCGAAGGCACUGUGCUAACCGUAAGGAGGCAGGUGACCACGGUAGGGUCAGCGACUGGGGUGAAGUCGUAACAAGGUAGCCGUAGGGGAACCUGCGGCUGGAUCACCUCCUU